CCUACGGGUGGCAGCAGUGGGGGAUAUUGCACAAUGGGGGAAACCCUGAUGCAGCGACGCCGCGUGUGGGAAGACGGUCCUCUGGAUUGUAAACCACUGUCCCCAGGGACGAAGCUGACGGUACCUGGGAUGAAGCUCCGACUAACUACGUGCCAGCAGCCGCGGUAAUACGUAGGGAGCGAGCGUUGUCCGGAAUUACUGAGUGUAAGGGGGGCGUAGGCGGGAAUGCAAGUUGGGGGUAAAAUCUACCGGCUCAACCGGUAGCCGCACUCAAAACUGCAGUUCUUGAGAGAAGUAGAGGCAGGCGGAAUUCCUAGUGUAGCGGUGAAAUGCGUAGAUAUUAGGCGGAACACCAGUGGCGAAGGCGGCCUGCUGGGCUUUUACUGACGCUGAGGCUCGAAAGUGUGGGGAGCAAACAGGAUUAGAUACCCGGGUAGUC
rnacentral:rRNA from 1 species